CACCUUAUUUUUCACGACAACAAGGGCGGCGCCAUUGCGCUCAUUUUGUCAACGUUCUUCCGGCCGCAUAGACGAUGAGCAGCUGAGGCAGUGACUGAAGGCGACGUGUUAAGCUUAAAAAGCUCACUCGAGCGCCUUUAUGUUUCUUUCUUACCAAUUUUAAGCCAACUGAGGAACACCCUUAUCCCAAGUAAUGGUUCGACUACGAUGUUCCGGUAACUUUAAACCACGCCUGGUGUUGGAAAGGUGGCCAGUUUCAGAUGCAUUGAUGUGUAGUGAUGCAAUGGACAACUGUGAGGAUGAUACAAUCAACAUGUUCCUAAACUGUGAUGCAGAAACACAAUGGGAGCAUCUAUCCGUCUCUGAACACAACUACAAAAUCACAACUCAACCUGAAGCAACAUACAUCUGAUAUGGGAAAACAAUGGUGCGGUUUCCCGGACAGGGCUUAUCCUGGUCCCAGGCUAAAAUGCAUAUUUGAGCUACAAUAAUUUAAAAACACCUUUUACUGACAUACCUCAACAUAUAUGAGUGCCAUUGUUUUGUCACAAGAUGCGCACCAGUCUUGUUUUUUUGUAGGAUUUGUUUGUAAAAACUAAAAUGUCCUAAUAUAAUUAAGGCCUAGUCCUGUAAACCCUGUCCGAGAAACUGCUUCAAUGUGUUGAGCUGGCACAAAUGUACAUAACUCUACUGAGAAACAACCAUCUUUGGUUCAGCUUUACACAGGGUUGAUAUUGCAUCCAUUACACAGUCGCCAAGCACUUUACCAGUACAUACACCAACAGCUUCCAGAUAUACGCUUGGGAUCAGCUCCUGAUGAAUCCGAUAAAGCUGUGUCUUAAUUUAUUGCAGGGUGGUCUUGCUUUACCUGUUGUAAAGUUACAUUAAACCUUCAUAUGUGAUCAGAUGUCAUGCAGUGAUAUUAAACAUUUACAGUGUGAUCAGAUGUUGUGCAUUUAUAUUAAAUCUUUACAAUGUGAUCAGCUGUUACCUGUCAUGCAGUUAUAUUAAACAUUUACUAUGUGA